CUCUCGGCAACGGAUAUCUCGGCUCUCGCAUCGAUGAAGAACGUAGCAAAAUGCGAUACCUGGUGUGAAUUGCAGAAUCCCGCGAACCAUCGAGUUUUUGAACGCAAGUUGCGCCCGAGGCCUUCGGGCUGAGGGCACGUCUGCCUGGGCGUCACGCCA
rnacentral:rRNA from 3 species